UGAGCGCUAGGUGUUGGGGACUUUCCGGUCCUCAGUGCCGCAGCAAACGCAUUAAGCGCUCCGCCUGGGGAGUACGACCGCAAGGUUGAAACUCAAAGGAAUUGACGGGGGCCCGCACAAGCGGUGGAGCAUGUGGUUUAAUUCGAAGCAACGCGAAGAACCUUACCAGGUCUUGACAUCCUGUGCUACACCUAGAGAUAGGUGGUUCCCUUCGGGGACGCAGAGACAGGUGGUGCAUGGCUGUCGUCAG
rnacentral:rRNA from 1 species